AUUGAACGCUGGCGGCAUGCCUUACACAUGCAAGUCGAACGGCAGCGCGUCCUUCGGGAUGGCGGCGAGUGGCGAACGGGUGAGUAGAGCAUCGGAACGUGCCCGGUAGUGCGGGAUAGCUCGGCGAAAGCCGGAUUAAUACCGCAUGAGAUCCGAGGAUGAAAGCAGGGGAUCGCAAGACCUUGCGCUACUGGAGCGGCCGAUGUCAGAUUAGGUAGUUGGUGGGGUAAAGGCUCACCAAGCCUGCGAUCUGUAGCUGGUCUGAGAGGAUGAUCAGCCACAUCGGGACUGAGACACGGCCCGAACUCCUACGGGAGGCAGCAGUGGGGAAUUUUGGACAAUGGGCGCAAGCCUGAUCCAGCCAUGCCGCGUGCAGGAUGAAGGCCCUCGGGUUGUAAACUGCUUUUGUACGGAACGAAAGGCCUCCUUCGAAUAAAGGGGGGAGAUGACGGUACCGUAAGAAUAAGCACCGGCUAACUACGUGCCAGCAGCCGCGGUAAUACGUAGGGUGCGAGCGUUAAUCGGAAUUACUGGGCGUAAAGCGUGCGCAGGCGGUUUUGCAAGACAGUGGUGAAAUCCCCGGGCUCAACCUGGGAACUGCCAUUGUGACUGCAAGGCUGGAGUACGGCAGAGGGGGAUGGAAUUCCGCGUGUAGCAGUGAAAUGCGUAGAUAUGCGGAGGAACACCGAUGGCGAAGGCAGUCCCCUGGGCCUGUACUGACGCUCAUGCGCGAAAGCGUGGGGAGCAAACAGGAUUAGAUACCCUGGUAGUCCACGCCCUAAACGAUGUCAACUGGUUGUUGGGGAUUUAUUUCUUCAGUAACGAAGCUAACGCGUGAAGUUGACCGCCUGGGGAGUACGGCCGCAAGGUUAAAACUCAAAGGAAUUGACGGGGACCCGCACAAGCGGUGGAUGAUGUGGUUUAAUUCGAUGCAACGCGAAAAACCUUACCCACCUUUGACAUGUAUGGAAUCCUGAAGAGAUUUGGGAGUGCUCGCAAGAGAGCCAUAACACAGGUGCUGCAUGGCUGUCGUCAGCUCGUGUCGUGAGAUGUUGGGUUAAGUCCCGCAACGAGCGCAACCCUUGCCAUCAGUUGCUACGAAAGGACACUCUGAUGGGACUGCCGGUGACAAACCGGAGGAAGGUGGGGAUGACGUCAAGUCCUCAUGGCCCUUAUAGGUGGGGCUACACACGUCAUACAAUGGCCGGUACAAAGGGCAGCGAAGCCGCGAGGUGAAGCCAAUCCCAUAAAGCCGGUCGUAGUCCGGAUUGCAGGCUGCAACUCGCCUGCAUGAAGUCGGAAUCGCUAGUAAUCGUGGAUCAGCAUGUCACGGUGAAUACGUUCCCGGGUCUUGUACACACCGCC
rnacentral:rRNA from 1 species